AUGGAGCUUUAGACCUAAAGUAAGUCACGUUUAACAUGCUGUGAUAACAGUAAAAACUUAGUGAUAUUUACUGAAGUGUCUUUGGUUGGGGCGACCGCGGGGUAAAACACAACCCCCAUGUGGACCGGGGAUAUUAUCCCUAAUACUCAGAGCCUCUACUCCAAGUAACAGAAAUUCUGACUUUUCUGAUCCGGUAUAACCGAUCAACGAACCG
rnacentral:rRNA from 1 species